rnacentral:misc_RNA from 1 species
GGUUAAUCUGAAAUGUUGGAUUUAUUUUGUAACUGGUUUCCUUUUCCCUUCAAAUUUAAUAGUGUGAACAAAAAAUUCAGAAAAGAGCAGAAAAUAUAGUCCCAUUUUCAUUCAGCUCCCAUCUCAGUAACCAAAAGGUUAUAAGUCGAAAGAUCCAUAUCAAUGGUUUCAGAAAAAAAUUUCAAAUGAAUCAAUCGAUCAACAGAGACCCUGUAAUUGGAGGAUCCAUCAGGAAGCACCCAUUCCUCGAGCAUCUUUGAUAAUGGCGGUAGAGAUAGAAAGAGAGAGGACAUGAAAAAGGCUAAAGGAAGAGAUGAUCAUAAAAAUGGGAAACAAUACUUGCAGUAUGGGAAGGAAGAGAAGCACAUGUGAUCUCAAUUCAACUGCCACCUCCUCAAAGAACCAAUACCGAAUUGACAAAGGAAUCAGGAGCAUCAAGAAAAGAGAAGCAGCAUAGAUUUGGGAAGGAAUCAUCUUAUACAAACAGUGAAAACGGCAAUUCUUGGAAUUAAACGGCAUCAUUUUGCUUAUAGGUCAUGUAUGGGAUGGUGAAUGGGAUGCCGUAAUUGUCCUCUAUCAAAUGAAGAUUUCAAAAUUGCCAUUCAAUUGCACUAUUAUUCUCUUCUUAAAAGGAACAAAAUGCCCUCUAUUUUUGUUACAAUUGCAAAAUUACUUGAAAUAGCCACUGUUGAAACAACAGUGGAAAUUUUCCAUGGUAAAUUAUCUAUUUUAAUAUACAAUAAAAAUUAUGUUAGUCAACCAUAUUAAAGUGUGGAAAAUAUUGUCACUUAAUCAAACAAAACAAAUAAAAUGCAGUUUAUUACAAAAUUUGUGGUGUGACCAAGCUUACAUGCAAAUUGC